AGCGAACGCUGGCGGCAGGCCUAACACAUGCAAGUCGAACGGAUCCUUCGGGAUUAGUGGCGGACGGGUGAGUAACACGUGGGAACGUGCCCUUUGGUUCGGAGCAACUCAGGGAAACUUGAGCUAAUACCGGAUGUGCCCUUCGGGGGAAAGAUUUAUCGCCAUUGGAGCGGCCCGCGUCUGAUUAGCUAGUUGGUGGGGUAAAGGCCCACCAAGGCGACGAUCAGUAGCUGGUCUGAGAGGAUGAUCAGCCACAUUGGGACUGAGACACGGCCCAAACUCCUACGGGAGGCAGCAGUGGGGAAUCUUGCGCAAUGGGCGAAAGCCUGACGCAGCCAUGCCGCGUGGAUGAUGAAGGUCUUAGGAUUGUAAAAUUCUUUCACCGGGGACGAUAAUGACGGUACCCGGAGAAGAAGCCCCGGCUAACUUCGUGCCAGCAGCCGCCGUAA
rnacentral:rRNA from 1 species